AUUGAACGCUGGCGGCAGGCCUAACACAUGCAAGUCGAGCGAGCGGCGGACGGGUGAGUAAUGUAUGGGGACUGCCCGAUAGAGGGGGAUAACUACUGGAAACGGUGGCUAAUACCGCAUACUAUCGGAUGACCCAUAUUGGAUUAGCUAGUAGGUGGGGUAAAGGCUCAACUAGGCGACGAUGUGUAGCUGGUCUGAGAGGAUGAUCAGACACACUGGGACGGAGACACGGCCCAGACUCCUACGGAGGCAGCAGUGGGGAAUAUUGCACAAUGGGCGCAAGCCUGAUGCAGCCAGGCCGCGUGGAUGAAGAAGGUCUUAGGGUUGUAAAGUACUGUCAGCGGGGAGGCGUUACCCGCAGAAGAAGCACCGGCUAACGCCGUGCCAGCAGCCGCGGUAAUUC
rnacentral:rRNA from 1 species